UCUGCUCAAUGAUUUUUUAAAUUGCUGUGGUAUUUUGACUAUACGAAGGUAUUGAAAUAAGAUUUUAAAUGAGUGCUAAGAGAAUGGUUGAACAAUUAAAGACUUUCUUUAAUUAAAAAAUUAAAUUUAAUUUUUUAAAGCGCAAAAGCAAAAAUGAAAAUUUGGGACAAGAAGACCCUAUGAAUUUUUAUUUAAUUUUUAAUUUUUAAAAAUUAAAAAUUAAAUUUGAUUGGGGCGAUGGAUAAAGAGUAGAUAUCUUUAUUUAAAUUUAAAAAAU
rnacentral:rRNA from 1 species